ACACUCUGGAGAGGCCAGAAGGACCAGCGGCGUUCUGCCUGGGCUAGGCCACCGAGGCCACCGACAUGGCCAGACAGCUGCCUACGUGACUCCGGGAGGGAGGAGGCCAAAUGAGCCUCACUCCUAUUCCAGGGCUCUGCUCUUUCCUCCUCUAACAAGGCCUGGAGGAAACAAGGUUCUUCAGGGAAGAAAGGAGGCUGUGGUGAUCCUGGAGCCAACAAGCCUGAGGACGUACAGACCGCAGGAGGGUCCCACCACCACGCAACAGCAGUCAAGAGGCCUGAGGAUGCCCAGGCCAACUCUCUCAAUAGGUACGGGAGGAAAAUGAGGACUGAGCAAAGCACCCUGGCCAAAACUUCAUGGCUGCCGAGUGGUAGAGCUGAAAUAAAAUUUCCUAGUUUGGCUCCUU